rnacentral:rRNA from 1 species
UGUUAUAUGUGUCAUACGAGACUGCCGGUAAAAGCCGGAGGAAGGUGAGGAUGAUGUCAAGUCAGCAUGACCUUUAUAUCCAGGGCUACACACACGCUACAAUGGUCUGUACAAUGGGUAGCCAAGCCGCGAGGCGGAGCCAAUCCUGAAAGCAGGCCUCAGUUCAGAUUGCAGUCUGCAACUCGACUGCAUGAAGCCGGAGUUGCUAGUAACCGCAGGUCAGCAAUACUGCGGUGAAUACGUUCCCGGGUCUU